rnacentral:rRNA from 1 species
GAUGAACGCUAGCGGCAGGCCUAAUACAUGCAAGUCGGACGGGAUCCAUUGAUAGCUUGCUAUCUAUGGUGAGAGUGGCGCACGGGUGCGUAACGCGUGAGCAACCUGCCUCCAUCAGGGGGAUAGCCUCUCGAAAGAGAGAUUAACACCCCAUAAUAUCAACAGUUCGCAUGUUCAGUUGAUUAAUUAUUUAUAGGAUGGAGAUGGGCUCGCGUGACAUUAGCUAGUUGGUAGGGGAACGGCUUACCAAGGCGACGAUGUUUAGGGGCUCGGAGAGGAGAAUCCCCCAGACUGGUACUGAGACACGGACCAGACUGCUACGGGAGGGAGCAGAAAGGAAUAUUGGUCAAUGGGCGGAAGCCUGAACCAGCCAUGCCGCGUGCAGGAUGACUGCGCUAUGGGUUGUAAACUGCUUUUGACCAGGAAUAAACCUAAAUACGAGUAUUUAGCUGAAGGUACUGGAAGAAUAAGGAUCGGCUAACUCCGUG